rnacentral:sRNA from 1 species
CUGAAAAUAAUAAUUUAACCUAUUAAAAUGUAACCUAUUAUUUACUUUUCUCUCUCUCCUACUUUAUUAUUAUUUUAUAUUUUUUAGUUAGUGAAAAACCAUACUAGAGACUACUGAUGGAGAUGUUCUUAUCUUUUCUGUCUAUUUUUGACUUUCAUGAUUCGCUUUUAGUUUCUUUUCUUCGGCUUCGCUUUUGGGUUUUCUAUUUUAGCUUUUUUCUUUUUGCUUAU